AUACGGAGGAUCCGAGCGUUAUCCGGAUUUAUUGGGUUUAAAGGGUGCGCAGGCGGCCAUUUAAGUCAGCGGUUAAAUCGUGGGGCUCAACCCCAUUCUGCCGUUGAUACUGGGUGGCUUGAUUGCGGUCGAGGUUGGCGGAAUUCGUUGUGUAGCGGUGAAAUGCAUAGAUAUGACGAAGAACACCGAUUGCGUAGGCAGCUGACCAGAUCGCAAAUGACGCUCAUGCACGAAAUUGCGGGGAUCGAACAGGAUUAGAUACCCUGGUAGUCCGCACAGUAAACGAUGAAUACUUGUUUUCGGCGAUAUAAUGUCGGAGGCAAAGCGAAAGCGAUAAGUAUUCCACCUGGGGAGUACGCCGGCAACGGUGAAACUCAAAGGAAUUGACGGGG
rnacentral:rRNA from 1 species